rnacentral:rRNA from 1 species
UACGAAGGGGGCUAGCGUUGCUCGGAAUCACUGGGCGUAAAGGGUGCGUAGGCGGGUCUUUAAGUCAGGGGUGAAAUCCUGGAGCUCAACUCCAGAACUGCCUUUGAUACUGAGGAUCUUGAGUUCGGGAGAGGUGAGUGGAACUGCGAGUGUAGAGGUGAAAAUUCGUAGAUAUUCGGAAGAACACCAGUGGCGAAGGCGGCUCACUGGCCCGGUACUGACGCUGAGGUGCGAAAGCGUGGGGAGCAAACAGG